UAUUUCUGAAGGAUUCUAAGACACCAGUGAAAGCUGCAUGCACCAAGAAAUGGGGCAGUUUGGGUGACACAUUUCAGGAGAAGAGCUUGCACUUUCCUCAGCACACCUGAAGGCAUUUAUUUCAUUAACCUAAGAUUAGGAACAGCCCCAUGACAAAAAAUGUUGGCGAUAUUGAUAUGAACAAAUAAUUAAUCCCAGGUGCCACCUGCUUUCUCCCAGGUCCCCCUAUGAUCCUUCUCCUUAUGCUAAGGGGCCUUGUUCCCACUCCCAUCCCCAGGCUUAGGGAGUUAUGGACAGGACAGUCUAUUAUAACACUUAUAGCCAUUAAAAUGUGAGAACAAAGCCUGCUCUGCUCUCCUGUUUUUUAACCUCUUUGCUGAAGCAUAACUUCUGUCCAUAGGUGACCUAACCUGUUCAAGUCUUGAGGAUUUUUAUCUGUGCAUGUUCUUUGGUUUCAGAUUAGGAUUCUGAACAUCAGUUCACCACUAGCUAGCUAUUUGACCAUGAACAAGUUGCCUGACACUCAAUGUCCUUAUUGGUUUAAAAAAGGGGGUCAUAGCUAACUCCACGGUGUUACGAAGAUUAAAUUAGUUAAUAUUUGCGGAAGUACCUAAGACAAUUCCUGGCAUCUAGUAGACAUCCAGUAAAUUUUAGUUUUGCCCUUUGUUCCUAAAAUAAGCAUGCUGGAGUCUUCAAUACCCGACAUUUAAAAAGAAGUGUUGCGGUUACAUUUUUCUGGAUUGGAAGCUUUCUUUGUGUGAAACACACGUAUCACCUGUACCUUUUUGUUAUUUUUGCUCUGCCUUUGUGUUUAUUAUUUUUGUGUGUGUGUGUGU